rnacentral:rRNA from 1 species
AUUGAACGCCGGCGGCAUGCCUUACACAUGCAAGUCGAACGGCAGCGCGGACUUCGGUCUGGCGGCGAGUGGCGAACGGGUGAGUAAUACAUCGGAACGUACCCUGUUGUGGGGGAUAACUAGUCGAAAGAUUAGCUAAUACCGCAUACGACCUGAGGGUGAAAGUGGGGGACCGCAAGGCCUCACGCAGCAGGAGCGGCCGAUGUCUGAUUAGCUAGUUGGUGGGGUAAAGGCCCACCAAGGCUACGAUCAGUAGCUGGUCUGUGAGGACGAUCAGCCAAACUGGGACUGGAACACGGCCCAGACGCCUACGGGAGGCAGCAGUGGGGAAUUUUGGACAAUGGGGGCAACCCUGAUCCAGCAAUGCCGCGUGUGUGAAGAAGGCCUUCGGGUUGUAAAGCACUUUUGUCCGGAAAGAAAUCGCGCUGGUUAAUACCUGGCGUGGAUGACGGUACCGGAAGAAUAAGCACCGGCUAACUACGUGCCAGCAGCCGCCGUAA